rnacentral:rRNA from 1 species
AAUGAACGCUGGCGGCGCGCCUAAUACAUGCAAGUCGAGCGAGAAGACGUAGCAAUACGUUUGUAAAGCGGCGAACGGGUGAGGAAUACAUGGGUAACCUACCCUCGAGUGGGGAAUGACUAGCCGAAAGGUUAGCUAAUACCGCGUACGCUUCUUGGACUUCGGUUCAGGGAGGAAAGCGAUGCCGAGGGUAUCGCGCUCUUGGAUGGGCUCAUGUCCUAUCAGCUUGGGUGAGGUAACGGCUCACCAAGGCUUCGACGGGUAGCUGGUCUGAGAGGACGAUCAGCCACACUGGCACUGCGACA